ACAAACUUGGUCAUUUAGAGGAAGUAAAAGUCGUAACAAGGUAACCGUAGGUGAACCUGCGGUUGGAUCAUUACCAAUUAUUCAAUUAUUCUCAUAUUGCUUGGCUGUUUGGAGAGAAUUUCUCCUUUAGUCAAGUCAAUCUAUGAGAAAAACACUUUGUGAAUAAGUAAUUGUUUUUUUGGUGGUUUUUAAGCCUUUAAUUUUCUAAGGUUUUGCUCUAGUUGUUACUGGAGUGAGGCCACCAAAGGACCUUUUCACUGUCUUUUUCAAAAGCCAGCUUGAUUGAGGCUCCAUUAAACAAACUCCUUACUUUUUUUUUUUUUAUCUUUUUUAUUCAAUUUUUGAAUAAACAGCCAAUAGAAAAACAACUUUUAACAACGGAUCUCUUGGCUCUCGCAUCGAUGAAGAACGCAGC
rnacentral:misc_RNA from 1 species